CACAAGCAGUCGGACUCUCCAGGGGUCUGGAUCUCUCCCUUGCUGCCUUGAAGGCCCCUGCACAGGCUGUGGCACUGGCUGAGUACAGGUGCCUGAAGGCAGAGGCAUGGAUGGGAUGCUUCAUUCUCAGCCUGUUUUUGCCAGUGAAGACAAAAGGGAAGUCAUCUUCCGUUGGUCUAUGGGGACCCUGAGGUAGUAGGAGCUCGGUGAUAAUUCUAGGGACCACCCUGGGUUGUCAGGUGGGGGAGACAGAGAAGCCCACAUAGGAGGCACCAAAUGCAACUCACUCGUGCCCUUUUACUCAUGAGAGAACACGGAUCCAGAGAUGUCAAGUGACUCAGACACAGUCUCACAGCACACAGGCGGCAGAGGCAGGUAGGGGACUGGGCUUCCCUGGCAGCAGUCCCCAAGCCUGCCUGAGAGGCACAUCAGAAUCGCUUUAGGGGAUUUGCAAAACCACACCUGCCCAGGCCCAAACCCUAGAGAUUCUGAUUCCGCAGUCUGAGGUAGGAAUGGAGAAUCCUCCACAGCCUGAGGUAGGAACUGGGAAUCCAGUGUUUAAAACUCUCUAGGGGCGGUGAUUUCAGAAAACCUGCUGGCUCCAUCACACUUUGCUCAGGGACUGAGAUGGGAUGGCAUUUGGAAGACACAGCUGAAAUUUAGCAUCAUAUUCCAUGGCGAUUUUCCACCAGUGGAAAUCACAGGUGUUCUCUGGUAUCACAGCGGGGUCAGGGAUGACCUGAAAUAUUGUUCAUGCUCAUCACAACUGCAUGGCCCACCGCGGGGUCUUGUCACUCAGUGAGUUCUUGAAGAGGCACAGACAAAUGGAGUUCAACAAAUGGAAAACAACUGCCUUUAAUUAGCUCCGAGGACUACAAAGGGAACAACGUUAUAAUAGCAGCAACUCCAAGGAAGCAGCCACAGCUCUCAGCUCUCAGACCUGGGGCUGCCGCUCAUCAUCAGCUACAGCUAGGUUUGAUGGGAGUGCCCCCAUUUCAGGGGACAGCAGGCCCCCUUCACUCCCCGACUCAGUCCCCAUCUGCAGCAGCACAGCCUUCCUUGGCCUCACCAGGGAAGAAGAACAGGCCCCGCUCUCAGACAAGCCUUCCCAGAAGCCUGAGGACUCAAACACCCAAAUGUGUCUGGGUCCCUGCCCCGAGCCGGCCACCCAGGCAGCAGCCCUGAAUCACUCGGUCAGCCAGCGGCAGGGCAGGCCAAUGGGCUGGAGGGUAGGCAGGCAGGCAGACCCACCUCUGCAUCUCUGCUGACUGCCUCGGCUGAGGAAAGGCAGCACCAGCCCCCAACCCUGAAGUUCUAGAUCUCAUGCAGCCUCUCUGUUCUGGAACCAUCCAGAGGCACUGCCCUUAUACAUGGUCCACCCCCAGGCUCAGACAAUGAGAAUUCCACAAGCAGAGGGGACUCUAUUUGGGGCACAGAGAGGUUAAGUAACUCCCCUCCUAAGGUCUCUCAGCAAGGAAGCCACUGAGCCGUGGGACUUGAGCUCAGGGACUCUUGAUCCCCAGUCUCAGGUGUCACAGCCCCAUCUGGGCUCCUGCUAGGGAGGAGGAAGGCAGCAGGGGGUGUCUGAGGCCAGGGUGCAUCAGCCCUAAAUGCCAGACAGAGGCAGGAGAAGUCUCCCCAUGAGUCCCAGCCCCAUUAGAGGCUCCAGGUCGGGGAUCCCAGACCCCCUAUCCUUGCUGGGAGACACAACCCAGAACUCUGCAUCCCUGCAGCCACCAAAAAAGGCAAAAGCUGCCCAGAAACACUUUCUCCUCUUCCGUGGCCAAAUCCACGAACUUUCUCGAGGUCUGUCCCCCUGCCCCGUGCAGGUCCAGCUUCAGUGCAGCCCAGCUCUGUGCAGUUUUCCACAAAAGCCUGUGGCUUCCUUCUCCUCCCUCUGCUUCUGAUACCCCAGGAGUUACACACAAAAUGUUGGCGGUGGUCUCCAGGAAGACCCCUGCAUCCCACAGCUCUCCCCAGAAGUUGCCAGCAGUGACCUCCUGAGCCCAGGUGGGGAGUCCCAGGCAGGACAGGGGCUGGGGCUGCAGGCCCUGGGGCCCUGUUAGUGAAGCAGCAAGCCGAGGGUCCCUGAGAGUUUCCCUUGGCCCCUCUGAGGGCUGCCCUUUGAGGUCUUGAGGUCUUGGAGUAUCCAUCGCCCCCACGGCUUACUGUCCCCACCAGCGGAGGAUGAAAGUGCCACAGCGAUGUUCCACGCCAAGAGACCACAGAGACCACCAACCCCUCUUCCCACCUCAGGCUUUCAGAGGCCAGCGGAUUUAGGCGGACAGGCUGUGCGCUUGAGGGCAGCCAGGGCGGUCAGUGGAGGGACGUGGUCCGGGGCCUGGCCACAGCUCCCCACCCAGGGCCCUGGGCUAUUGU
rnacentral:lncRNA from 1 species